GGGUUUCUAGGCGGACUGGUUUAGCCCUAAAUUAAACAGUGUUUAUUAGUUUUUCUUAGUGUAGUGGUUGAUAUUGCAGAAAUUUGGCUGAUUAUCCUGUUAAAUCUGGUUGGUAUUGUAAGGUUGUUGAAAAAAAUCAUGAAGGUUUGGAUGUCUUCAGGUGAUGGGUGAGCCAUGGAUAUUGACGAGGAGCCUAGCUCUACUAAGAAUUCAGCAAUUGGAGCUCCUCCUUCCCACAGCAACAUGGCUAGCAUCAUAUGGUGGCACGAGAGGUUUAACUCUCUUGAAUCAGCCUACCUUCGUGAUGGUUGUGAUCCUGAGGAUGCUUGGUCUUAUGCUCAUAUGUGCAUGUCUAUGUAUACACUAUUCGUGAUUAUUUGGAUAAGGCUUGGAAGGUUAACUUUGAAUGCCUAUGCAUGAUGGCUGAGGGAAAAAUCCCUACCAGACAUGAUGAAACUAGCAGCCAUAUUAAAACUACCUCUGAGAAGAUGCAGGAAUUAGCGCCACUGCCACCACAACAACAUAAAUUCCUUUAUGUCGACAGGAUUUAGAGGAGAAGUUACAUGACAUCUUUCCCAACACCCAUUUCCUUCAGCAGAUGGAGGCCGCUACCAGUGGUAUUUCUCCUCCUCUUAAUAUUAGUCGCCAUGACAUUUGGGCUUUGUCCAAAGACAAAACUUUCACCAAAUACUUCCAGCAGGUCCAACAGAGCAAUAACACCUUUCGACAACUGUUUUGAGACCUCAGUUGUGAUUCAGAUAGUGUUUAAACUCGACGGCGAGCUACAUCUUCCGAGUUGCCAUGAAUUCUUCAUUUAGUUUAUGGUCCGUUAUUUAAGACUUAGAUAUUUUCAAUUUUUUUAGGUUGAUAGCGUUUGUUGAUACAUAUUAGUGUUUUGGUACAAUGACUUUCUUAUACUUGGAGAUUUUUAGAUUUUCUACAUUAUUAUUUUUUCUUAGUAUCAAAUUAUUAGUUUUCUUAAUGAAAAUGGUUAGUUGCCUAAUUUUUGGCUAAGUGCUGGAUUGAUUCAUCGAGAAAGUUGGCUCUCCCACUAGGAUGUUAAUGUGGGUUCCAUUCAUGAUGGGUUUGGAUUGUAACCUCUGUCUUUAUUAGUGAUAUAGAAACUAUUUAUUGCUUCUUAAA